GGAGGAUUAAAACAAAUAAACUACGAUACUAAAGAGCCAACUGAUACUGGGUCUCUGGUGCUCAGAGGACUUUCUGUCAUCCAUGGCCACAAACUUACAGAUUUCUACAAAGUAUGCUUUGAUUCUGUUGACAUUGGAAUCCUCCUCAUUGAGCAAGAAAGCUCUCAUCUUCUCUCCAUCUCAAUCCAGCCUCAUUGAAGAUCAUCAUUGAAGGAGAAGUUGUGACUGACAAUAUUGACGACUUGCCAAAAGCUAUGUGCAUUCUGUAUGGACUUGCAUACACACUGCAUCUCAACUACCC
ensembl:lncRNA